UACAGAGGGGGCAAGCGUUGUUCGGAAUUACUGGGCGUAAAGGGCGCGUAGGCGGCCUGUUAAGUCGAACGUGAAAUCCCUGGGCUCAACCCAGGAACUGCGUCCGAUACUGGCUGGCUUGAAUCCGGGAGAGGGAUGUGGAAUUCCAGGUGUAGCGGUGAAAUGCGUAGAUAUCUGGAGGAACACCGGUGGCGAAGGCGACAUCCUGGACCGGUAUUGACGCUGAGGCGCGAAAGCCAGGGGAGCAAACGGG
rnacentral:rRNA from 1 species